rnacentral:ncRNA from 1 species
UAAAAGUGCCAAAGGCACCCCGGACGAGGUGCGCCGUACCCGGCCAGCGAAAAGACGGCGCGUG